rnacentral:lncRNA from 1 species
AUUCAUGAAAACAUAAACAGAUGAUUAGAAUAUUGGUCAUAGAAUAGAAUAAAUUAUUCAUCCACUUCGAUCUUCACGGUUUGAAUACAUAGUAUAAGAGUUGUUAAGGGUCCAAUAGACCAACGAGGAUAAACCAUGCCAUUUUAACAAGGUCUACCACUCCGUACCCACAUAUACACUAACCUCCACCACCACUAUUGACGCAUAAUCAACCCAACUUUCCCAAUUGUUCUACCCAAACCAAGGCCAGCAACAAGACUACGUGAUAGAGGGACAAUGCACAUAAUUGAUGCCAAUCAAGUGGCGCUUUGAUUUCCCACUAUUCUCCGGGACAGACCCUCACGUUUGGAUUCACAAGUGCGAAGAAUAUUUCUUCUUCCAAAACACGCCGGAACACCUGAAAGUCGCCUCGGUGGGCUUCAAUUGUGAAGGCAAGGCAAGAGAGUGGAUUUGAUACAAACGCGUCGAGCAACCGAUAAAUACCUGGGCAGAACUCUGCGAAUUAAUAAUCAAACGAUUUGACGUAGAGGGGGGACGAUCCAGACACCUGAGCGCCUACGUGUGGAUACAAAAAAUUACGAUAGUGACGGAAUGCAUCGAACGGUUCGAAGAACUGUCCAAUCAAGCGGGGAACUUCAGCGAGCAAUUCAAGACAGAGACGUUCUUAGAUGGCCUCCGCGAUGACAUUAAAAACAAAGUAUCCCCUUUCAAGCCUCAAACGGUCUCGGACACACAGGAGAUGGCUCUUAUGAUGGAAACGAAGAUUAAUGACUCCUACAAAUCUAAUCAUUGUAGCAAGACACCGGAACAAGGAACAAAUCGAACCACCAGAAACAUUCCACCGGGAGUUAAAUUGCUGACACCGAAGGAACAAUGAACUCGUCGGGAUGCAUGCCUAUGCUACAAUUGCGAAGAAAAAUAUCAACGAGGCCACGUUUGCAAGAAACCAGUCAAGGUGACGAGUCAAUCGUCUUCAAAUAAAAUCAAUCGAAAUCAGAAACCAUAUAGCGAAAUCAGAAAGAAAAAAACCGAAUACCUAGACAGUGAAUCUCAGUGAGAUCAUUGUUCCUUUCUCAGCCAAGAAAUCCAGUAGAUACAACGACGAUUCCAAUUUCAGAAUCAAUAUAUCGUGAAUCCCUUAUCAACAACAUAAAUAGACGAUGAGUUGAAAUCAAUUGAUUUAGGUAAUGAAAUACAGACGACGAAACCCUAAAUCGAAGCAGCAACGCCAGCGGAAAACAAAAACCCCAAUCGAAUCGUGAAGCUCUAGAUACCAUGCAAUGAUUCUAGUAGGAUCAAUUAUUUAAGGUGAUUUGAAUAAAAGAAGAAGAGUAGAUCGAAGAUGGAGAAGAUAGGAGGAGAAGAUAGGAGGAGAAGAUAGGAGGAGAAGAAGAAGAAGAAGAAGAAGAAGGGAGAAGAAGAAGGGAGAAGAAGAAGGGAGAAGAAGAAGGGAGAAGAAGAAGGGAGAAGAAGAAGGGAGAAGAAGAAGGGAGAAGAAGAAGGGAGAAGAAGAUGGGAGAAGAAGAAGGGAGAAGAAGAUGGGAGAAGAAGAUGGGAGAAGAAGAUGGGAGAAGAAGAUGGGAGAAGAAGAUAGGAGAACAAGUUAACUAACUCAAGAAAGAGUGGAAGAAGAUAAAAGAAAGAAG